AGGAAGACUUACUAAAUGCUACCUCUCCAUAUAAAAUGCAACCCUAUGGACAGGUGAUUCAUCUGUUUGUGUCCUGAAGGUAUUUCAAGCUUGGUGAAUGCCUGUUAAAAUGUGCUGGAAGGAUUGAAUGCCAUAACACGUUGGAGGCACGAGGCACCUGGAGUGUGCCUCCCACAUUAGAUGCUUAAUAAACAACGAGACCCACCUGCACCUCUAAAGUCGCUCGGAUAUCUGGAAUUGCUUACUAAGGAAGAGGAAGCCACAGCUCCAUGGCAACAUCUAAUCAAGGCAUUUUUAGACUCUCAGUUGGAAAACAGUUCAGAUAUAUCCCAGUCCUUCCUGGUGAGUGAUUUGCCUCAACAUCAUCUGCCAAUUCCUACUCAUUUCAGACUCUCAGGUAUGAACAUUCCAAAUAACGAGGAAUUGACACUUCAUCAAUCAGCCAUUUAAUUGUGAAAAAUGAAAAAGGGGGAAAUCAACCACUUUGUCUUUGAGGAUCAACAUGUACUCAGCACUAGACAGAUACUGUGAUUACUCAUAUGACUACUCGGUAAAGAGGUAUUAUCCCCAAUUUUAGGAACUGGGAAACUGAGGUUCAGAGGAGAAACACUUUCACAUGCUCCAACAGAUUUAUUUAAGACAGCAGUGAUCUUCAAAAGUGAUACACUCACUCUAAACUGUCAGAGACUGGUCAAGUGUCUUACCACUUGCACAAUUCCUACAUGUCUAUGUUCUUAUUGCAGAUGAAUAGAGGCAUGUGCCUCAUCUUUUCAUAACUCAGACCUUCUCUCUGAGUAUAACAAUUUUCUUCGUCCUACCAUAUGAUUAGGUCAGAAGCCCAGAUAUGCAUUCCCAGAAUUCAGAGCUGUGCUUUCUAUAGAUUCUGAAAUGAGACCUAAUUCCAUUUCAUUCUCAAAUAAUCUGCUGCUACUUGGGAGAUAAUCACAAGCCAGGAAAGCAGAGGUGAUGUUCUUUCUCAUUUGCUCAGUAUCCCCAGUGUCUGAGAGCAGUAAAUAAUUAUUGAUUAAUCAAGCCUAAUAAAUUCAGAGUAGUAUUUAAGUCCCAUUGUGAUUUACGGUAAUCUUCUCUUAAAUUUUUAAUCAUGCCACAGUGCCUCUUUUUCUAAAAAAAUACAAAAAGGGAGAUGGGAUACUUGGAACAAGGGAGUUGAGUUUUCAGCUUUAUUUAGGAAAGAAAUUACCUGCCCUCAGUUUAUCCUCAUUUGAUUAACUGACUCAUAGCCAAUGGAUUCUCAUAUUGUUAUUCAGAUUCCACCAGUAUUUCCAUGCAGUUAACAGAAUCAUUUAGCACUCGGCCCUCCAUUCAACUGAGCUGCCUGUCCUAUAAAGAACCAGUUAUUAUUUUUAAAUUUUGCUAAGAGAAUACAUCUUAUGGUAAGUGUUUUUUUUAUCACAGAAUAAUCAAUACUGGCAGGAGAAAGCUUUUGGAGGUGAUGCAUGGGUUUAUGGCAUAGAUGGUGCCGAUGGUUUCAAGAACGUACAUUUAUCUCCAAACUCAUCAAACUGUAUACUUUAAUUAUGCACAGGUUUUGGUUUGUAAGAAAGAUUUUGCCAAAAGUGAAAAAGGAAUCACUUAUUAGCUAUUAUUUCCGAUAAUGAAAGAUUUUUCCAUUAUGGUCAGGAUCUGAGGAGACAAAUUUUACAAUGCUUAGUUUGAGGUUGAUAAAUACAUUCCUUAUUCCCUCGGUUCAUCCUUGGGUUACAUUUCCCACCACUCCGGCUUCCCACAUUCUGGGGAAUUUAGGGAGUGGGCAGCCUGUGAACACUUCUAGUUGUGGUGAGCCUACCUUGCCUCAACCCUCUUUUUCUCAGCUCAAAACAACAGAAUGAAAGGCCCCAGGGGAGAUGACAAAUCUCAGCUGUUUAACUUUUCUAAAAUAUUUUCCUUGGAGAGGUCCUGGACCAAAUCUUAAGGCUUUUUUUUUUUUUUUUUUUUUUUUUUUUUUUUUUUUUUUUUUGCCCCUUGUCCUUUCCAGACCUCCUCUUAGGCCAGGACAAAUUUCCCUGAGAUAGGAACUAAAGGCUGACUCAGUUCCCAUCUGGAGCCAUCUGGUUCUUCCUGCUUCACAGCUCACCACUCAUUCCUAAUCACUCUCCCUCCUCUUUCUUUCCUCUCUCUGAUAUAUUUUCAGUCUUGCUUCUUCUCCCACAAAAAAACAUAAGCCAUGAGAUCAUCUGCCAAGACGGAUUUGGCCUUAAGAAUAAAGUUUUUAAGUGCCCAACCACAUUUCCCAGGGGAUGGCAAGAAUUCUUAAGCUCUAAGAAAGUGUAUUUUUCACUAAAAUGUAACUAGGGGAGGUUGUACUUUCUGAAAAUACCUCUGUACCUCAGGAAGUGAAAUUAAACUAAUCACUGAGAAAUAAAAAGUAGCUUUUUCUCAUCUUAGGAGCAUUUCUUCUUUUCUCUACGGUACAGUAUAUAACUAUAAAGGUUGUUUGAACAAAGUAGA